ACACGACUACAUUAGAUACCCCUGUAGUCCCAGCCCUAAACGAUGCGCGUUAGGUGUAUCGGUGACCACGAGUCACCGAGGUGCCGAAGGGAAACCGUGAAACGUGCCGCCUGGGAAGUACGGUCGCAAGGCUGAAACUUAAAGGAAUUGGCGGGGAGCACCACAACGGGUGGAGCUUGCGGUUUAAUUGGAUUCAACGCCGGAAAUCUUACCGGGACCGACAGCAACAUGAAGGCCAAGCUGAAGACUUUGCCGGAUUAGCUG
rnacentral:rRNA from 1 species